rnacentral:rRNA from 1 species
UACGGGGGGAGCAAGCGUUGUUCGGAUUUACUGGGCGUAAAGGGCGCGUAGGCGGCCACCGCAAGUCGACUGUGAAAUCUCCGGGCUUAACCCGGAAAGGUCAGCCGAUACUGCGGGGCUAGAGUGCAGAAGGGGCAACUGGAAUUCUCGGUGUAGCGGUGAAAUGCGUAGAUAUCGAGAGGAACACCUGCGGCGAAGGCGGGUUGCUGGGCUGACACUGACGCUGAUGCGCGAAAGCUUGGGUAGCAAACGGG